GUGGUCGACUUAACUUUGGUGCCUCGAGAUUAAUGUUAUUAUGUUUAAAUAAAUGGAGGGAAUGAAUUUGAAAGCCGGAAUAAAAAUUUUAAAUACAGUAACAAUUCAAAAGUUUCAUUAAUCAUUUAGAAUAACAAUAAUUCUGGGCAAGAGUCGCUUAUCUCCGAGCCUCCAAUCGAGUAAACCAUUUUCCGAUCUCUUCACCGGCGAUUUUAUCUUUCCGACGCAACUUUCAGAUAUCGUAUACUUUGGAGCUAGGUGUUUGUGACUUCUUUCAUCCUUCAUGGGUAUUCUUUUCUAAUUCAUUUAAGCUUUAUUGUCUAAGCGUCCGGAGUUGUGCUUGCAUGACUUUCGGUUAGAUGAUAAACUUUUUUGAAAGAAAGAUAUCCCAGAUGCGGUUUAUUGUAUUUCGAUACAAUUCAUCUACUUGUAUGUAGACCUUAAAAAAAAAAAGUUUCAUUAAUCA